rnacentral:lncRNA from 1 species
UUUCACUUUGAGAGAUUAAUAGUCCUUCGUCAAAGGAUAAAAUAGUCCGAAGUUGUGAUAAAUUAAGACAAAAUAGUUUAAUCUCAAGCAUACUUUUUGCAAACAAACAUAACCUAAAGAGUUAUAUGAAGUAUUCAGAUAUUUUGUAUUAUUUUCUAUUUGGAGAUGGCCCUGGAUUGGGCUUGUUAUUGAAUUUGGCGUUGUGUUGGGUCAGUAGUCAACUCUAUAUCACCCUGUUAAGGUAAUUUACAUUUCUACAUAUCAACAUACAUAGGUUGGCAGUAUCUCAUGUCCAGAUUUCAUUCCAGCACUGGGAACAAUAAACAUACAUGAAUUCUAGAAAUGUUACAUAUAUUUCCAUAGUGAACUUUACCUUAGUGGCACUAAUUCUCUUAGAUGAGCUAUACUAUAUUCUACUAAGUUAGAAAGGGUUUGCAGUAACUAUUAGUGUAUGCUCCUUUUCUCAUGCAAUCACAUGCCUAUUGCUUGUGCAGCUGUGUCUACUCUAUAGUUUUUUUCUUCCCAAAAGGUAAACAACUUUUGCAGUUUGAAAUUUGGAUAGUGCUCCCCUCAUUUGAAAUCUAGCGCCAUUCUUUUCUAGCAAUUGGACCCUAGGUAUACGUAAGUUCCUCUUCUAUCCCCUUGCAUCUAAUAUCCACAAUUUUAGAAUUGGAAAACCAUGCAUAUCCCAAAAAUCAAAUUUGCCUUAUCUCCACGCUUAUUUAAUGUUUGCAUUGGAGCUUGCAUACUUUAUUUCCUCUAAGACGGUGAAAGAUGUCUAUUUUUUCUCAUACUUUAUCCAUUUAACUUCAAAAACACUGGUGAAGCAUAUUAAACUAAGUUUACAAGGUUCUCAUCCAGAAUCUUAUCUCUUCUUCCUAGACCGUAGGGGUUUGAACUUGAAACUCAAAACUGAAAUAAAAGGUGAAAGUACGCAUUUUGUGAGGUAAUAAAUUUGAGAAAAUUCAACAGAGAGGUCCCAUUUUUUAUUAGUCUAAGAUAAAACAUAGACUUAGUUAAUAAGAUAAUUUUAUUUAAAAUCAUAACUCCCUCCUUUCUGAAAUUAGAGAUAUAUUCUGAUUUUAUGUCUGUUCUAAACUAGAGAUAUAUUUCUAUUUAUAUAUAGUGAUAGUAUGUUACUAAUUUGCCUUUUUUUAUUAUCAUAUCUAGCAUUACACAACCACCAUUAAAUUCUUAGCUAAUAUUUUAAAAUUCAAUCAUUUUAAAAAUAUAUCUCUAAUUUUGGAAUGAAAAUAUUAUCAAAUAAGCCAUGACAACUAGGGAAAGUAUGUUGUUUUUCUCGGAAUAAAAGAUUAGAAGUUUUUUGAACAAACAACAAAGUGCAGCCAAUUUUGAGAUCUUUCCCCUUGAAAAUUGUUUCUUCCAUUCAACUUUACUAGUUGGUUCAAGAUACUAAUCUUAAUACUUCACCAAUCAGGAACUCACCAUUCCAUUUUUGUUUGUGAGCUUUCCAUUGCUUGAUAUCUGUAAUGUGCUGAAAUAUAACAAAAUAUAUGGUCCAGGUAUGAGAAAGUACAUGUUGCUUGUUACAUAGUUAAUUUAGACAUAAUUGGUUUUUGAAAUUAAAAAAAAGAAAAAAGAAAAAAUUUCUUUGUUUAGUAUUCAUGUAUCUUAAGUACUUGAUUAAUACGAGUAACAAUUCUUUUUAUCUGUGAUUUAUGGCCUUAGAAAUCAUACAUGUCUAAUAUGAUCAGUAUAUCUUUUUUCUGAUUUUACAUUGUAUAUAUGUAUGCAUGUUUGGUACUGCAUUUCUUGUAUAUCUGGUAGUGUUCAACAUGGAUACAAAUACUCUAAAUAAACCUAUUCCUCCAUCUGAAACAAGUAUGACAAUAUUUAGCAUUUAGAAGGUUUUACCACUACUUCUUUUUCUUUUAUAGUUGCACAUAAUCCUCAAUCAUGGAUUAUAGACACUGGUAUUACUAACUACAUGUGUCACCAUAUUAGUCUCAUGCAUUACUUAAUCACUUUAUCUCAUUAUGUUUAUGUUUCCUUGUCCACAAAUGUACAAAUUAAGGUUAAUUAAGAAUGUUUUGUAGACUUAACUCUUGAUUUGACCAUUUAUAAUGUUUUUCUUGUUCCAGUAUUUCAUUAUAAUCUAGUUUUAGUUAGCAUGUUGACCCAGACUUCUAAGUGUCAAGCCUUGUUUCUUCACUUCGAAUGCCUAUUUCAGGACCUGAGCAUGAUGGCAAUUAUUGAAGUUAGUGAAGAGAAGGCAGGAUUAUAUGAACUACAUGCUCCUUCUUUCAAUAAAGAUGUUGCGCCUAAUCUUGUUUUCCUUGAAGUGGACCUAACAUGAUUUACAUUUCAUUCCUUCUAGCUCGUUGUUAUUUUUUCAGUUUUCUUAUGUUAGUUUUUAAAUAUUAUAAGUAUUAUGAUCCUUGGGAGAUCAAGAUACAAUAACAAAUUCUGUACUUAUUGUGACUUGAGCAUUAUUUAUUUAUAUAUGGAGUAUUAGUUUUAAUUUUUGGCUCUUUAAUGCAGUUUAUCAAUUAGUUUGAAACAAGUAU